AUUGAACGCUGGCGGCAUGCUUUACACAUGCAAGUCGAACGGUAACAGGUUAAGCUGACGAGUGGCGAACGGGUGAGUAAUGCAUCGGAACGUGCCCGGUCGUGGGGGAUAACGCAGCGAAAGCUGCGCUAAUACCGCAUACGAUCUGAGGAUGAAAGCGGGGGACCGUAAGGCCUCGCGCGAUCGGAGCGGCCGAUGUCAGAUUAGGUAGUUGGUGGGGUAAAGGCUCACCAAGCCAACGAUCUGUAGCUGGUCUGAGAGGACGACCAGCCACACUGGGACUGAGACACGGCCCAGACUCCUACGGGAGGCAGCAGGGGGGAAUUUUGGACAAUGGGCGAAAGCCUGAUCCAGCAAUGCCGCGUGCAGGAAGGAGGCCUUCGGGUUGUAAACUGCUUUUGUACGGAGCGAAAAGGUCUCCUCUAAUACAGGGGACUCAUGACGGUACCGUAAGAAUAAGCACCGGCUAACUACGUGCCAGCCGCCGCCGUAA
rnacentral:rRNA from 1 species